UCUUCUGCAGCAAUGCGAUUUGAUUCGUGUCUUUGUUGACCGAGUUUAAACAAAGCUAGAGGAUGGUCAGUUUGACCUAGUCCGAGUGCUAAGCAUUCUUGGGCCUAGGCUGGAUUGAUCAUUAAAUCUAUCUUUAU
rnacentral:misc_RNA from 1 species